UGUUCCCUACGGGGGGCAGCAGUGGGGAAUAUUGCACAAUGGGGGGAACCCUGAUGCAGCGACGCCGCGUGAGUGAAGAAGUAUUUCGGUAUGUAAAGCUCUAUCAGCAGGAAAGAUAAUGACGGUACCUGACUAAGAAGCCCCGGCUAACUCCGUGCCAGCAGCCGCGGUAAUACGGAGGAUGCGAGCGUUAUCCGGAUUUAUUGGGUUUAAAGGGUGCGCAGGCGGUCUGUUAAGUCAGCGGUCAAAGCCCGGGGCUCAACCCCGGCCCGCCGUUGAAACUGGCAGUCUCGAGUUGGAGGGAA
rnacentral:rRNA from 1 species